AACGAACGCUGCGGCAUGCCUAACACAUGCAAGUCGAACGAGACCUUCGGGUCUAGUGGCGCACGGGUGCGUAACGCGUGGGAACCUGCCCUUAGGUUCGGAAUAACUCCCCGAAAGGGGUGCUAAUACCGGAUAAUGUCUUCGGACCAAAGAUUUAUCGCCUUUGGAUGGGCCCGCGUUGGAUUAGCUAGUUGGUAGGGUAAAAGCCUACCAAGGCGACGAUCCAUAGCUGGUCUGAGAGGAUGAUCAGCCACACUGGGACUGAGACACGGCCCAGACUCCUACGGGAGGCAGCAGUGGGGAAUAUUGGACCAUGGGCGAAAGCCUGAUCCAGCAAUGCCGCGUGAGUGAUGAAGGCCUUAGGGUUGUAAAGCUCUUUUACCCGGGAUGAUAAUGACAGUACCUGGAGAAUAAGCUCCGGCUAACUCCGUG
rnacentral:rRNA from 1 species